GCCGGAGCACCCCCAACUCCAGUUUAGACUUUCCUUCCAGGUCCCGAUGGCGGACGUGACCCUUUGACUCCAGCUUCUCCGGUGUCGGCAGAAUUCUGCACCAACACCACUUUACUUGAUAUCACUUGAAGCAGCCCUGUAUAGGAUCCUGAAGAUUGAUAUUAACCACCAAGAAAAAUCAAGAAAUUUUUUCUUGAUUUUCUUUAUCUCUCUCAAAGGUUCUCUCUCAGAUCUCUAUCUGAU
rnacentral:lncRNA from 1 species